rnacentral:rRNA from 1 species
CCAAUAGCGUAUAUUAAAGUUGUUGCAGUUAAAAAGCUCGUAGUUGAACUUCAGGCCUGUCCAGAUGGUCCGCCUUAAUUGGUGUGUACUGUCCUUGGGUGGGUCCUACCUUCUGGCGAAGCGGCAUGGCCUUCGUUGGUUGUGUCGGGGAAGCAGGACUUUUACUGUGAAAAAAUUAGAGUGUUCAAAGCAGGCAUAUAUGCUCGAAUACAUUAGCAUGGAAUAAUGGAAUAGGACGAUGGUUCUAUUUUGUUGGUUCUAGGACCGUUGUAAUGAUUAAUAGGGAUAGUUGGGGGAAUUAGUAUUCAAUUGUCAGAGGUGAAAUUCUUGGAUUUAUUGAAGACUAACUACUGCGAAAGCAUUUGCCAAGGAUGUUUUCAUUAAUCAAGAACGAAAGUUAGGGGAUCGAAGACGAUCAGAGACCGUCGUAGUCAUAACCAUAAACUAUGCCGACUAGGAAUCGGGCGAUGUUGACAAAAUGACUCGCUCGGCACCUCAUG